rnacentral:rRNA from 1 species
AGUGAACGCUGGCGGUAGGCCUAACACAUGCCAGUCGAACGGCAGCACAGUAAGAGCUUGCUCUUACGGGUGGCGAGUGGCGGACGGGUGAGGAAUACAUCGGAAUCUACUUUUUCGUGGGGGAUAACGUAGGGAAACUUACGCUAAUACCGCAUACGACCUACGGGUGAAAGCAGGGGAUCUUCGGACCUUGCGCGAUUGAAUGAGCCGAUGUCGGAUUAGCUAGUUGGCGGGGUAAAGGCCCACCAAGGCGACGAUCCGUAGCUGGUCUGGGAGGAUGAUCAGCCACACUGGAACUGAGACACGGUCCAGACUCCUACGGGAGGGAGCAGUGGGGAAUAUUGGACAAUGGGCGCAAGCCUGAUCCAGCCAUACCGCGUGGGUGAAGAAGGCCUUCGGGUUGUAAAGCCCUUUUGUUGGGAAAGAAAAGCAGCAGGUUAAUACCCCGCUGUUCUGACGGUACCCAAAGAAUAAGCACCGGCUAACUUCGUG